rfam:Leersia perrieri chromosome 8, whole genome shotgun sequence.
AGGAUAAGAGGCAGCCGGGCUAGCCAAGGAGACUGCCUGUACAUAUAUGCGAGACUGGAUGAUGCUAAACCCAUAUGAUUCAUGCAUCGAUAUAUCACGCACAUAUAGAUACACAGGCAAGUCAUCCUUGGCUACCAGGGACUCACUCUCAUCA